GAAAUGCGAUAAGUAGUGUGAAUUGCGGAAUUCAGUGAAUCAUCGAAUCUUUGAACGCACAUUGCGCCCCUUGGUAUUCCAUGGGGCAUGCCUGUUCGAGCGUCAUCUGUACCUUCAAGCUCUGCUUGGUGUUGGGUGUUUGUCUCGCCUCUGCGCGCAGACUCGCCUCAAAACAAUUGGCAGCCGGCGUAUUGAUUUCGGAGCGCAGUACAUCUCGCGCUUUGCACUCAGAACGACGACGUCCAAAAGUACAUUUUUUACACUCUUGACCUCGGAUCAGGUAGGGAUACCCGCUGAACUUAAGC
rnacentral:misc_RNA from 1 species